rnacentral:rRNA from 1 species
UUAAAACUCAAAUGAAUUGACGGGGGCCCGCACAAGCGGUGGAGCAUGUGGUUUAAUUCGAUGCAACGCGAAGAACCUUACCUGGUCUUGACAUCCACAGAACUUUCCAGAGAUGGAUUGGUGCCUUCGGGAACUGUGAGACAGGUGCUGCAUGGCUGUCGUCAGCUCGUGUUGUGAAAUGUUGGGUUAAGUCCCGCAACGAGCGCAACCCUUAUCCUUUGUUGCCAGCGGUCCGGCCGGGAACUCAAAGGAGACUGCCAGUGAUAAACUGGAGGAAGGUGGGGAUGACGUCAAGUCAUCAUGGCCCUUACGACCAGGGCUACACACGUGCUACAAUGGCGCAUACAAAGAGAAGCGACCUCGCGAGAGCAAGCGGACCUCAUAAAGUGCGUCGUAGUCCGGAUUGGAGUCUGCAACUCGACUCCAUGAAGUCGGAAUCGCUAGUAAUCGUGGAUCAGAAUGCCACGGUGAAUACGUUCCCGGGCCUUGUACACACCGCCCGUCACACCAUGGGAGUGGGUUGCAAAAGAAGUAGGUAGCUUAACCUUCGGGAGGGCGCUUACCACUUUGUGAUUCAUGACUGGGGUGAAGUCGUAACAAGGUAACCGUAGGGGAACCUGCGGUUGGAUCAC